CUGCCUGCCCAGUGACACUAAGUUUAACGGCCGCGGUAUUAUGACCGUGCAAAGGUAGCGUAAUCACUUGUCUUUUAAAUAAAGACCAGUAUGAAUGGCAAGACGAAAGUUCAACUGUCUCCCUAAAUUAAUCAAUGAAAUUGAUUUUUCUGUGCAGAAGCGGAAAUAUAAUUAUAAGACGAGAAGACCCUAUGGAGCUUUAAACAUAUGAUCAAUUGCGUAACAUAAAAUCCAAAAGAUAAAAUAUUUAAUAUAACAAUAUGAUCAAAAUUUUAGGUUGGGGCGACCACGGAGAAAAACAAAACCUCCGAGAUGAAGAGAAUAUCUUAAUUCAAGAACUACAAUUCUAAAAAAUAAAAUAUUUAACAUAAUUGAUCCAAUACUUUGAUCAACGAACCAAGUUACCCUAGGGAUAACAGCGCAAUCCUCUCCAAGAGUCCCUAUCGACGAGCGGGUUUACGACCUCGAUGUUGGAUCAGGACACCCCAAUGGUGCAGCCGCUAUUAAAGGUUCGUUUGUUCAACGAUUAAA
rnacentral:rRNA from 1 species